rnacentral:lncRNA from 1 species
GCCCUGCUUACAAACCUCAACCCAACACCACUGGGUGACAUCCAGGGGGAAAGGGAUGGACACUUCCUCAAGAGGAAACCAAGGGGAAUGGAGAACUGGGGAACAAAGAAAAAAUAAUGUCCAUUCCAGUUAAUUUAAACUUUUUUAAAAAAGAAAACUGGGCUGCUCACAAACAAUGAAAUGACCUCUCCCUCUCCCUCUCCCUCUCCCAUGGUCUCCCUCUCCCCAUGGUCUCCCUCUCCCUCUCUUUCCACCGUCUCCCUCUCAUGCCGAGCCAAAGCUGAACUAUACUGCUGCCAUCUCGGCUCACUGCAACCUCCCUGCCUGAUUCUCCUGCCUCAGCCUGCAGAGUGCCUGCAAUUGCAGGCGUGCGCCGCCACGCCUGACUGGUUUUCGUAUUUUUUUGGUGGAGACGGGGUUUCCCUGUGUUGGCCGGGCUGGUCUCCAGCUCCUAACCGCGAGUGAUCCGCCAGCCUCGGCCUCCCGAGGUGCUGGGAUUGCAGACGGAGUCUGGUUUACUCAGUGCUCAAUGGUGCCCAGGCUGGAGUGCAGUGGCGUGAUCUCGGCUCGCUACAACCUCCACCUCCCAGCCGCCUGCCUUGGCCUCCCGAAGUGCCGAGAUUGCAGCCUCCGCCCGGCCGCCACCCCGUCUGGGAAGUGAGGAGUGUCUCUGCCUGGCCGCCCAUCGUCUGGGAUGUGAGGAGCCCCUCUGCCUGGCUGCCCAGUCUGGAAAGUGAGGAGCGUCUCUGCCCAGCCACCAUCCCAUCUGGGAAGUGAGGAGCGCCUCUUCCCGGCCGCCAUCACAUCUAGGAAGUGAGGAGCGUCUCUGCCCGGCCGCCCAUUGUCUGGGAUGUGGGGAGCGCCUCUGCCCCGCCGCCCCGUCUGGGAUGUGAGGAGUGCCUCUGCCCGGCCGCCACCCCGUCUGGGAGGUGAGGAGCAUCUCUGCCCGGCCGCCUCGUCUGAGAAGUGAGGAGACCCUCCGCCCAGCAGCCGCCCCGUCUGAGAAGUGAGGAGCCUCUCCGCCCGGCAGCCACCCCGUCCGGGAGGGAGGUGGGGGGUGUCAGCCUCCCGCCAGGCCAGCCGCCCCAUCUGGGAGGGAGGUGGGGGCGUCAGCCCCCCACCCGGCCAGCCGCCCCGUCUGGGAGGGAGGUGGGGGGGUCAGCCCCCCGCCCGGCCAGCAGCCCCGUCCGGGAGGUGAGGGGCACCUCUGCCCGGCCGCCCCUACUGGGAAGUGAGGAGCCCCUCUGCCCAGCCACCACCCCGUCUGGGAGGUGUACCCAACAGCUCAUUGAGAACGGGCCAUGAUGACAAUGGCGGUUUUGUGGAAUAGAAAGGGGGGAAAGGUGGGGAAAAGAUUGAGAAAUCGGAUGGUUGCCCUGUCUGUGUAGAAAGAAGUAGACAUGGGAGACUUUUCAUUUUGUUCUGUACUAAGAAAAAUUCUUCUGCCUUGGGAUCCUGUUGAUCUGUGACCUUACCCCCAACCCUGUGCUCUCUGAAACAUGUGCUGUGUCCACUCAGAGUUAAAUGGAUUAAGGGCGGUGCAAGAUGUGCUUUGUUAAACAGAUGCUUGAAGGCAGCAUGCUCAUUAAGAGUCACCACCACUCCCUAAUCUCAAGUACCCAGGGACACAAACGCUGCGGAAGGCCGCAGGGUCCUCUGCCUAGGAAAACCAGAGACCUUUGUUCACUUGUUUAUCUGCUGACCUUCCCUCCACUAUUGUCCUAUGACCCUGCCAAAUCCCCCUCUGUGAGAAACACCCAAGAAUGAUCAAUAAAAAAAAAAAGAAAGAAAACUGAAGCUCCAGAUAUGCAAGGUGAUACUAAGAUAGCAUAUUUGUGCUUUAAAAGAGUUUGAGGCCGGACAGAGUGGCUCAUACCUGUAUCCUUAACACUUUGGGAGUCUGAGGUGAGAGGCUCACUUGAGGACAGGAGUUUGAGACCAUCCUGGGCAACACAUCUAGACCCUGUCUCUACCAAAAAUCUUAAAUUAGCCAGGCAUGGUGGCAUGCACCUGUAGAUACAGCUACUCCCAGAGGCUGAGAUGCAAGAAUCGUUUGAGCCCAGAAGGUCAAGGCUGCAGUGAGCUAUAAUGGCACCACUGCACUCCAGCCUGGGUAACAGAUCAAGACUCCAUUUAUUUAUUUAUUUAUUUAUUUAUUUAUUUAUUUAUUUGAAAUAAGGUCUUGCUCUGCUGCCCAGACUGGAGUGCAGUGGCGUGAUCUCGGCUCACUACAACCUCCACCUCCCAGGUUCAAGCAUUUCUCCUUCCUCAGCCUCUGAAGUAGCUGUGAUCACAGGCAUGCCUCACCACACCCAGCUAAUUUUUCUGUUUUAGUAGAGACAGGAUUUCUCCAUGUUGGCCAAACUGGUCUCAAACUCCUGAACUCAGGUGAUCUGCCUGCUUCAGCCUCCCAAAGUGCUGGGAUUACAGGCAUGAGCCACCAUGCCCAGCCCCCAUCUCUUUAAAAAAAAAAAAAGAGAGAGAGAGAGUUUCCAUGUCCAAAUGGAUUCUAUACUUAAAUCAACCUGGACAAUUAUGUGGGUCUCUCCAGUCACACAAAGAGAAGUGAAACAGUCCCUGACAUCAACAAGUUCCCAUUCUAGAAAGGGAGCAAGAUAUACAUGCAUGCCACAGAGCAAAAAAUGAUUGGUAAGAACUGUUAAAGAUAACCUAUCCAAGCACCAUGGGAGAACAGAGACCGGGGUCGUUAAUUCUUCAAAAUCAGAGUACGCUUCCUGUUGGCAUUUGAGUAGGAGAUGAGAAUAGAGAACAGAAAUUUGGAACAAAUGAUGUAGAGCUUUGAAUGUCCUGCCGAAUUUUUCUGUAACAGUAUUGUUGAAGUUUUUGAGCAGAGGAAUAAACAUGAUCUUAUCUCAGCAACAAUGUAGAGAUUAGAUUGCCCCAGCGGGAGAGAUUAAAGGUUAGAAAACCAGUAAGAAUGUUGUUGCAAUAAGGCAGAUGAGAGAUAAGGGCCUGCUUUAGAGGACUGGGAAGUGAGGGUAAUGAUGGGAAACGACAUUUCAGGGAGCUGGACUGGGCAGGUCCUGAUGAAUAAUUGGAUGGUGGGGGUCAAACAGAAGAUAAUGCAAGACUUCUGUCUUGGGUGAUUUGGUGAAUGGUGAUGCUAUUAUUCAAUCCGGGAAACUCAGGAGCAGUGUGCAAGGGGAAGAAGGUGAGGUUGAUUGGGGUCAGAUAGAGCUUGAGAUAUUUCAGAGAUACACUGGUGGAAAUAUUCUGCAGGCUGCUGGAAUUUUUCUUCUUUUUUUGAGACAGGGUCUUGCUCCGUUGCCCAGGCUGGAGUGCAGUGGCACCAUCUUGGCUUACUGCAGCCUCAACCUGGCAGGCUCCAGAGAUCCUCCCACCUCAGUCUCUCGAGUAGCUGGGACCACAGGCACUCAUCACCACACCUGGAUAAUUGUGUUUAUUUUUUAUAGAGACGGGAUCUCACUAUAUUGCCUAGACUGGUCUCCAGCUACUGGCCUCAAGCGAUCCUCCCACCUCAGCCACCCAAAGGGCUGGGCUGGGAUUACAGGCAUGAACCACCAGGCCCAGCCCAGGGUGUUGAAAAUCUUGAGUCCAAAACUCAGGAAGAAGCCAGGUGUGGUGGCAUGCAUCUGUAAUCCCAGCUACUCAGGAGGCUUAGGUGGGAGGAUCACUUGAGCCUGGGAGUCCGAAACCAGCCUGUGUAACAUAGGGAGGCACCAUCUUUAAAAAUUAAUUAAUUAAUUAAAAUUCAGGAAGACUGGUCACUGGUCAUCAUUAUCUUUGAACAAUGAAAUUAUGGAUGAUUUUUAUUUGAUUAUUUUUAGGGUUCUUGAUAGGCACAUGUUACUUUUAUAGUUACCAAAAAGAAUUUUUUUGAAGAAUAACUAAAGGGGGAGACAGGUUAGGAUAAGAGAAAUCAAGAUGAUCGCAGACAUGGCAGAACAUGCGGACGCAGCUGCAGAAUUAGAGUUUGUUCAGUUCAGAUCCACAGUUACUGUACAUUCCUGCUUUGUCAGGCUCCAGAGCCACCUCUGGAUGGUCUCCAUCCUCAGAGAACCCCAAGGAGUAGGAAGGUGCAAGGAGAGGAGAGAUGAACAGAUGUCCCACUUUGCAAAAAAGAAAAAAAAAGGAAGGGCAGAUUCUGGAAGCUGCAGAGCUCUACGUCUUGCAGCUAGGCAAAAAUUCUAAAAUCUUGCAAAUCCUAUGGGAACAAGGCACAGAUGGGUGGUCCUUAGGAGACAGCCAGGACCCACCAGGAAUAUUCGAACCAAAGGAAGCUCAUUUUCCUUCUGGAGAAGGGAAGACUAAAGAGAUUGCAUAUCAGGAUUUCAGCCAGACAUUUGACAAAGGUCUCAUGACAAUCCCACGGGCGAGUUAGACGAAUAUGGGCUGGAGGAGAGUGGAGUAAGUGUGGGUUCAGAUGCAGUAGAAUGACCCACCGCAUGCAAGGAUUUGAUUACUGAGCUGAUGUCAAUCCAGAGAAAGGUCCUGAGACCUCACAGUUCUCCUCUUGGCUCUGUCCUGUUUAUCAUUUUCGUGACCAGAAAAACAGAUACUGGCUGAGAAUGAAGAGCUUAAUGAAACCUCUUGGGAAAAAAGAGCUGGUUUGUCUUUUGUGAUGGGAAAUUACCACCACCGCGUGCAUUUCUGCGGGUCCCAGACGACCAACCACCUCCCAUGAAGAUGAAGAAGAGUCCAGCCAGGACGAAAGAUCUUAGUGGUGUCCUCCACUGUCCUUCCCAAAUCCAAGAUCCUUCCAGUCUGCAAGCGUCCUUUGGACACUGUCACCCAAAAGUCCGCCAUCUUUGCAAAGCCAGUCUGUCUACCCCAGAGCCCAUCCUCUUAGGCUGAAGGCAGUUUGGUUUUAAGGGAGGCACAGGGUCUAUGCAGCCAGUGACACCUGAGUUCCCAUCGCCAACCAUGCUGUCCAGAGCUACAGCUCAGACCAGGAGCCCCGGAGAACAACAGGCCAGUUCAGAAGAUUACAGCAGGACUGAUGGCGUGAAGUCGGGGAGAAGCUGCUGCGGGUUUUCUGUUCAAUUCCCAUCCUGCACUGCCAUCUCCAGGACACAGGAGUCCUCGCCAGGAUGAUCAAAGCGGCAGCCAACUCAGCGGGAAAACGUGCAACAUCACCCUCGUGACCAGGGCUUUUGAUCCGGGAAGGUCGGAGCAGAUUGGGAACAUUUGCUCAUCAUUCCUCUCCCUUUGCUGUGCAGCGGUGAGAAAAUGGGGAAAGGCAGUUGUUCAAAGAACAUCUCCUACGCUAUUAGCUGGUGAGACCAGAGGACCAAGACAGGGAGUGCCCCGGCCCAGCGCUCACACCCCAUGGCAAUGUUCCUAGCCGGCUACAGGGAUCUUGCACAAUACGGAUUCCAAGGCAGUAGCCUGGGGUGGGGCCUGAGAGCAGGCACUUCUAGCAAAUCCCAGAUGCAGCUCAUGGUGCAGGUCUGAGCCAUGGUCAAUCCGUGAGGGGCAAAAUGUGGUGCGAGGGCCAGCAGCAGCAGCGCCUGGAUGAUUUUUUUUUUUUCUUUUUGAGACAGAGUCUCACUCACUCUGUCACCCAGGCUGGAGUGCGGUGUCGCGAUCUCUGCUCACUGCAACCUCAGCCUCCCGGGUUCAAGCGAUUCUCCUGCCUCAGCCUCCCGAGUAGCUGGGAUUACAGGUGCCCGCCCACCACCAUGCCCAGCUAAUUUUGUAUUUUUAGUAGAGAGGGGGUUUCAGCAUGCUGGUCAGGCUGGUCUCCAACUCCUGACCUCUGGUGAUCCGCCUGCCUUGACAAAUGUAUCUAAGUGUCCUUUGGCGUGCAGAUUAUUUUGUCACCACGAGGACACUUUAAAGAUACAUUGGUGGUGCAACGUUCCUGGAGCUGGUAGGAAGACAUUCAUUUCUUUCUUUAUUUGAGUCACGGACACCAGACCCCUGUGACAUGCAAUUUACCUGCAUAAUAAACCUGCACAUGUACCCUUGAACCUAAAAUAGAAGUUUUAAAAAGCAUAAAAAAUAAUAAUAAUAAAAUAUAUUUUUCGACUGUGUAAAAAAAAAAAGUGUCUUUUUGUGGGGGGAAGGUGGCAGGACAGGGUCU